GGAGAGCAGGUGAAACGCACUUCCGGUGUUGUCGCUGUCCUCACUGUCCCGUGCUCGUUCAGUUUCUCUGCUGAAACAAAAUAUGAUUUUAAGCGGAUUUUACAGCGCAUCGAACCUUCUGAAGUCCAGCGGGGCGUUCUGGAGGAUCUGGACGAGGAAGAUGAGCGCUGAUUCUUCAUCUCUGACCCUGAGACAGCAGCAGGACGGAAUCAGGAGGAUCAUUCUGAACGACCCCAGGAAGAGGAACGCUCUGUCUCUGUCCAUGCUGGAGUCGCUGAGAGAAGACCUCGUGACGGACGCGCACACGCCAGAGCUGCGCGUCAUCAUCAUAUCAGCGCGGGGGCCCGUGUUUUCCUCGGGUCACGACCUCAAGGAGCUGACCUCCGCCCGGGGCCGCGAGUAUCACAGCAAGGUGUUCCAGACCUGCUCAGAGGUCAUGACCCUGAUUCAGGAUCUCCCGGUGCCGGUCAUCGCGAUGGUGAACGGUGUGGCCACGGCGGCGGGUUGCCAGUUAGUCGCCAGCUGUGAUAUUGCUGUUGCAACAGAGAAAUCGACUUUCGCCACUCCUGGCAUCAACGUCGGGCUGUUCUGCUCCACCCCGGGAGUGGCGAUCGGACGGGCGCUGCCCAGAAAGGUUGCCAUGGAGAUGUUGUUGACGGGCCGCCCCAUCUCCGCUCAGGACGCGCUGCUGCACGGGCUGGUCAGUAAGGUGGUGAGCGAGCAGCAGUUAGAGGACGAGACGCUGGCCAUCGCCAGACGCGUGUGUGAGUCCAGUCGCCCCGUGGUGGCUCUCGGGAAGGCCGUGUUUCACAGGCAGAUGGCCGAGGGCCGAGACGCGGCGUACGCUUGUGCCUCCGCUGCCAUGGUGGAGAACCUGGCGCUGCGGGACGGGCAGGAGGGCGUCAGGGCGUUCCUGGAGAAACGCAAGCCCGUGUGGAGCAACAGUGACGAGGAAGCCCACAUGUGACUCUACAAACAAACACACCGAAUCAGUCAAGACUGUCUAACUGUGCAAAUCUUUAUGUAAAUAUGAGCACUUCCUGAGGUUGUGAGGUACCACCUGAUCUCUCCUUUCAAAAGCGUCAUUCAGAGUUCAUGUUUAUUUCUUUAUCUCUGUGGAAUCAUGUGUUAAACAGGAGAAAGUUCUGGAGAAAUCAGUGAGUCACCUGUAUGUGUUCACAAAUUAUCACUAAUAUUUGUGCUCUCUCCAUCAUAACAGUGUUAUAUACGUCACCUCACUGUUCAUUGUGUUUAUUUUACAGGUUUUGUCUUGCAUAUCAGUUCUUAAUUUUUACAUUCUCAUUGUUUUUUUUACUAAAUUAGCUGCCUGAUGAUCCAUGCCAAAGACAGCACUAUCACAUUUGUCAUAUCUACACUGAUUUGUUGUACUUGUACAGACUGCACUGUAAGUGAAUGAGGCAAAUUGAUGAAAGAGUCUUUAUUAAAUUAUAUUAAUGCUGUGAUACACUUGUUGACCACAAGAGGGAGCCGGUCAUCACCUGUCUUUCAUCUGCCUUACAUUUAAUCUAAUAAAUUGUGAUUUUUUUUAUUGAAACGAACGAAUUUAUGAAAAGAACUGAGUCAGUAACACAACAUGAAGUCAUUUUCAGUGUGUUGAUGGUGAAACAACUUGUCUGGUAGAAACUGCGCAGUUUGUCAUCCGCUCCUCUAGGGGCGCAAGCGGCUUCACGUUCAUGACAUCUUUGGAUCCUUGACAACAACAACAACACCUGAUGUCAACUUGACUUGACGUUUUGAUCACUUUAUAGACAUGAAAGUACAGAUCCUGCUCAGUGACAGACUCAUAAAGUCACUCAACAGCACAUAUUCCAGCAAAAUCAACUGACACACAUUGAGAAACUUUAAGAAUCGACCAUGUCACGCGACUCACUGAUGGCUUUUCUGAGAUUGUUCUGUCAGCAGUGGGCGGGGCUUACAAGCUGUAAUCCAAUUGGCUGAAAAUGUGAUUAAUAUGCGACACCCUGUUGCCAAUUUGCAAUCCACCUGAGGACCAGCGUGAGCACAAGGAGAAGUCUUCUUUGAAUAUCAGGAUCUCUGGGUCAGAACUGCUGGAGGUCAUGAGGAGGUGGCAGGAGAAGCAGCCGCAGCUUUCUCUGGGAUAAAGGUUACGACGGGCCAUUUCUGUUUGAAUGCAUGUGUUAUUUACAAACUGAUCAGUUUGUGCACAAUAAAAGGCUAAAUGUGA